rnacentral:lncRNA from 1 species
GUGUUUCCUCAGCUGCAGUGCAAGUGGGGCAUGCUCCGUUGAGACUUUAUUCACUCUGGGCAGUUUGUUGAAGAUUAGGUGGUCAGCUCACAAUGAAUCAUAAGCUGCUUUUGUCCCUUGCUGUCUAUGCUUAGAAGCUAAAAGGUUAAGCAGCGAUGUCAGCGCUAUCAGGGAGCUGUGGAGACUGGAAUUGAAGUUCAGAACCUUUCAUGGGAGACAGCUCAGAGCCCUGACAGAUGAGAACCAGGAAUUUUUUGUUGAAGAGCUUUCAUCCUUUAGUCAUGGAAUUAUUCUGGAGCAUUUUUUCCUCUUCUUCCAAGUGUUCAAGUAAUAAGAAAGACAGCAGGAUCUUUUAUUUCAGAACAAACAUGAAGUUAUUUAAGAUUAUGUUAUUGAAUAGUCAAAAGAUUACUAUGGAGACUAAAGAGUGCUUUCAACCUAGAAAAAUGACUUUGAAUUAAGAAAAAAAUACCUUAAACACUUGUCCUAGAUAAGAGCCAGUGUGAAUUGCCUAAGCACUGACUAUGUGAUUUUUCAGAGUGCUAUUUCGCAAAGUCAUCCCACAGCCAGAUUUCUAAACAUAGACCUUGUAAAUCGGAGGGAAAAAUCCAGAAGACAUUUUUGUACACUAGGGUCAGAUGAAAAUUUCCACUCUGUAGUACUUUGUCCUCUAAACAACUUUAUCUCUCUGCCCUUUAUUUUAAAUUUUGGAGAAUGGGGGUGGAGGGUUAAUUAAGAAAGUCAAACAUUUAUAGAAACAUUUAAGUAAUCAAAUUGUUAUUAUGUCUUGACAUCUGGUCUUUCCCAUCUUACAUCUUCGUAAGAUGUACUCUCCUCUCUUUUUUUUCCAACAUUAUUGAACAUGUUUCAUAAGGUCAAGAUCACAAAAUGUUUUUCUCCCUUGGGAAAGUGACUAUCUAGAAAGCAGCUGAGGUUAGGGGCUACAGUUAACUACUGCAGUCAGUUAUGGAAUUUUAGGAAUAAGAGCAAGAGCACAGAGCA